CCUACGUGAGGCAGCAGUGGGGAAUAUUGGACAAUGGGGGCAACCCUGAUCCAGCCAUGCCGCGUGUGUGAAGAAGGCCCUCGGGUUGUAAAGCACUUUCAGUGAGGAAGAACGCCUGGUGGUUAAUACCCAUCAGGAAAGACAUCACUCACAGAAGAAGCACCGGCUAACUCCGUGCCAGCAGCCGCGGUAAUACGGAGGGUGCGAGCGUUAAUCGGAAUUACUGGGCGUAAAGCGCGCGUAGGUGGCUUGAUAAGCCGGUUGUGAAAGCCCCGGGCUCAACCUGGGAACGGCAUCCGGAACUGGCAAGCUAGAGUGCAGGAGAGGAAGGUAGAAUUGCCGGUGUAGCGGUGAAAUGCGUAGAGAUCGGGAGGAAUACCAGUGGCGAAGGCGGCCUUCUGGACUGACACUGACACUGAGGUGCGAAAGCGUGGGUAGCAAACAGGAUUAGAUACCCGGGUAGUC
rnacentral:rRNA from 1 species